UAUAAAGCACUGUGACAGUAUGUUACUGUCCUCUGUUAGGCUACAGGAAAUAUAAAGCACUGUGUACAGUAUGUUACUGUCCUCUGAGGCUACAGGAAAUAUAAAGCACAGUGUCCUACUGUCCUCUGAGGCUACAGGAAAUAUAAAGCACUGUACAGUAUGUUACUGUCCUCUGAGGCUACAGGAAAUAUAAAGCACACUGUCCUACUGUCCUCUGAGGCUACAGGAAAUAUAAAGCACACUGUCCUACUGUCCCUCUGAGGCUACAGGAAAUAUAAAGCACACUGUCCACUGUCCUCUGAGGCUACAGGAAAUAUAAACCACUGUCCUACUGUCCUCUGUUGAGGCUACAGGAAAUUAAAGCACACUGUCCUACUGUCCUCUGUUGAGGCUACAGAAAUAUAAAGCACACUGUCCUACUGUCCUCUGUUGAGGCUACAGGAAAUAUAAAGCACACUGUCCUACUGUCCUCUGAGGCUACAGGAAAUAUAAAGCACACUGUCCUACUGUCCUCUGAGGCACAGGAAAUAUAAGCACGUGUACAGUAUGC
rnacentral:lncRNA from 1 species